rnacentral:tRNA from 1 species
GCAGGGGUAGUCAAGACGGCCAAUUGCAUGUCCGACGUGCAUACCAACGACGCGGGACUCAAGAUCCCGUCGCGCAGGCGUACCGGGGUUCGAAUCCCCGCCCCUGCA